rnacentral:rRNA from 1 species
GACGAACGCUGGCGGCGUGCCUAAUACAUGCAAGUUGAGCGCUGAAGGUUGGUACUUGUACCAACUGGAUGAGCAGCGAACGGGUGAGUAACGCGUGGGGAAUCUGCCUUUGAGCGGGGGACAACAUUUGGAAACGAAUGCUAAUACCGCAUAAAAACUUUAAACACAAGUUUUAAGUUUGAAAGAUGCAAUUGCAUCACUCAAAGAUGAUCCCGCGUUGUAUUAGCUAGUUGGUGAGGUAAAGGCUCACCAAGGCGAUGAUACAUAGCCGACCUGAGAGGGUGAUCGGCCACAUUGGGACUGAGACACGGCCCAAACUCCUACGGGAGGCAGCAGUAGGGAAUAGUCGGCAAUGGACGAAAGUCUGACCGAGCAACGCCGCGUGAGUGAAGAAGGUUUUCGGAUCGUAAAACUCUGUUGGUAGAGAAGAACGUUGGUGAGAGUGGAAAGCUCAUCAAGUGACGGUAACUACCCAGAAAGGGACGGCUAACUACGUG